rnacentral:rRNA from 1 species
UGAGUAACCUGCCCUUAAACUCUGGGAUAAGCCUGGGAAAACUGGGUCUAAUACCGGAUAUGACUCCUCAUCGCAUGGUGGGGGGUGGAAAGCUUUUUGUGGUUUUGGAUGGACUCGCGGCCUAUCAGCUUGUUGUGAGGUAAUGGCUCACCAAGGCGACGACGGGUAGCCGGCCUGAGAGGGUGACCGGCCACACGUGGGACUGAGACACGGUCCAGACUCCUACGGGAGCAG